rnacentral:rRNA from 1 species
GACGUAGGGUGCGAGCGUUGUCCGGGAUUUAUUGGGCGUAAAGAGCUCGUAGGCGGCUCGUCGCGUCGACCGUGAAAACCCGCGGCUUAACUGCGGGCUUGCGGUUGAUACGGGCGGGCUAGAGUUCGGUAGGGGAGACUGGAAUUCCUGGUGUAGCGGUGAAAUGCGCAGAUAUCAGGAGGAACACCGGUGGCGAAGGCGGGUCUCUGGGCCGAUACUGACGCUGAGGAGCGAAAGCGUGGGGAGCGAACAGG